UAUUCCACAAUGGAGGAUACUCUGAUGCAGUGACACCGCGUAUAGGAAGAAGGCUUUCGGCUUGUAAACUUUUUUAGACAGGGUAGAAAAAAGACAGUACCUGUAGAAUAAGCUCCGGCUAACUACGUGCCAGCAGCCGCGGUAAUACGUAGGGGGCAAGCGUUAUCCGGAUUUACUGGGUGUAAAGGGAGCGUAGACGGCAGCACAAGUCUGGAGUGAAAUGCCGGGGCGUAACCCCGGAACUGCUUUGGAAACUGUGCAGCUAGAGUGCAGGAGAGGUAAGUGGAAUUCCUAGUGUAGCGGUGAAAUGCGUAGAUAUUAGGAGGAACACCAGUGGCGAAGGCGGCUUACUGGACUGUAACUGACGUUGAGGCUCGAAAGCGUGGGGAGCAAACAGG
rnacentral:rRNA from 1 species